GACGAACGCUGGCGGCGUGCUUAACACAUGCAAGUCGAACGGAAAGGCCCUGCUUGCAGGGUGCUCGAGUGGCGAACGGGUGAGUAACACGUGGGUGAUCUGCCCCUUAUUUUGGGAUAAGCCUGGGAAACUGGGUCUAAUACUGGAUAGGACCAUGCUGUAGGUGGUGUGGUGGAAAGAUUAGUUUCGGUAAGGGAUGAGCUCGUGGCCUAUCAGCUUGUUGGUGGGGUAAUGGCCUACCAAGGCGUCGACGGGUAGCCGGCCUGAGAGGGUGGACGGCCACAUUGGGACUGAGAUACGGCCCAGACUCCUACGGGAGGCAGCAGUGGGGAAUAUUGCACAAUGGGCGCAAGCCUGAUGCAGCGACGCCGCGUGGGGGAUGACGGCCUUCGGGUUGUAAACUCCUUUCAGCCAUGACGAAGCCCUUGUGGUGACGGUAGUGGUAGAAGAAGCACCGGCUAACUACGUG
rnacentral:rRNA from 1 species